CAGCAGCUCAAGUGGUGAUCAUUAUUAUUGGGCCUAAAACGUCCGUAGCCUGUUUAGUAAAUGCCUGGGUAAAUCGUGUAGCUUAACUAUACGAAUUCCGGGUAGACUGCUAAACUUGAGACCGGGAGAGGCUAGAGGUACUCCUGGGGUAGAGGUGAAAUUCUGUAAUCCUAGGGGGACCACCAGUGGCGAAGGCGUCUAGCUAGAACGGGUCUGACGGUGAGGGACGAAACCCUGGGGCGCAAAACGGAUUAGAUACCCGAGUAGUCC
rnacentral:rRNA from 1 species